CAUAGCUGGAGAAAAGUGGGGAAGGACGGGGAGGAUGGGAAGCCUUGAAUGUAACUGCCAGGGGACUCUCAAAGUUAAGAAAAGUAGAAAUACAAAGAAAAGGUCGAGGGUUUGAAAAGAUGGCAGGGGGAGCUGCACGUUGUUGUGCCGGCAAAUGAUGUGAUGACGUUGGUAUUAGAGAAAGACUAGUCAAGUUUCUAUUUCCACCAUCUAAAAUAUGCAAAGGUUGAGAAACCCAUGUAGUAUUUGCUCAUCAUCUCAUAAGGGAGAAGACUGAAUUUGUUAAAUGCACGUGGCUUUUCUUGUUAGUGGCAAGAACUCGAGUGCACUGUGCACUCUGUGAGGUCAUAAAGCGAAGAAAGUGCAAUUACACAAUGAAAAGGGGCAAGCACACUGCAUAAAGAUGUAGAUGAGCUAAAGCUACAUGGAAGAGAUGGGACAGCAUGCCAUGGGGGGAGCAGCCCAGCAGGGGAGCCAGGCAGCUGUCUCCUGACUACUUUCUUGACUGGAAAACAUGGGAUGCCUCAGAAUGCUCCAUAUCUUUGUAAGAUGCUUAUUUUGCCUGCAAAAGAAAGUCAUGUGUCUGGAAUAAUAACAUGAAAUGAUAUGAGCAGUGGAGAUUCAAGAAAUUACUCUUCAAAAAAAGUCUAUAGACAUGGUCUCAGGAAAGCUAAAUGCCAAGCAUUAGCAUGAAGAGGCUUCAGGAAAGGUGUCAAUUUUUAACUUUUGUAAUAAGCUAUUAUUUUUAAACCAUAUGAUACUUAUACAUAUAGAAAACUUCAGAGCUGUGGAAUCUAACAGAAAAUUUACAGCAACAAAAAGAGUGUUUAAUGAAGAAAAGGCAGCUG
rnacentral:lncRNA from 1 species